GUUGCUAAACCAUUUAUAAGUAAUGUCCUUAGGAUUUUCCCAUGUGGAUAAAGACUCUUGAUUGGCAAUUUUGGCCUCUGCCUACAUGUUCCUAUUAAAAUGAAGAAAGGAUUAAAAUGACUCAAUUAAAUUUUCCUGCCAAACAAAAACAUAACACCCCCCCCCAAAAAAAAAAACCCUCAAAGAUAUGCUCUGGGUAAAAUUUGCUUGAAUAUUUGAAUUUUUCACAGGUGACUUAGUAAUCAGCCAGCGUUCCAGGUCUUGUUUCUGUAACUUUGGUAUAAUCUCAUCUGGCCCGAUGACACAGAGAUGGAACAUAGCUAGAAAUUGAGAGAAGAAGAACUGAACAAGUUCAGAGACCCAUGGCCACUCACAACAGCAAAUACCCGAUACUGGAAGAGACUUUGGACACCAUUCUGGAGAUGCUGACCUACCCAGCAAACUUUCCAAAGCUUCCAGCUGCUCUCCCGUAAGUGCACUGUGAGCGUGUGGGAGGAUCUGUGCCGUGACGGUCUUGCUUUACUUGCAUUUACAUUAUUAAUGUCUUUUCCUUACGUGAAGGUGACUUUAUCUGGAAAGAAAAGAGGACUUCGAACAGGUUGUUUCCUUUGGGAUGUUGUUUAUGCCAAGGACAUGGACGCUUUUCGCAGUGAGCUAGCUCGCCUAACCAGCACUCUGCAAGCAAGCAACAGUCAUGGGGUCCUGAACAUGCCAUGUUACCAGCAUGACAUUCAUCUGUCACCCUGUACCAAUACCCCUUUCCCUGCUCAUGGCACAGUACAGCUCCCAAGCAGGUCCCUGUCUCUUAAUUCCCCCUAAACGCACAGUGUAACCCCCACAAAUGAACACUCACCCACAGCUGUUGCUAUUCUUUCCCACAUGCCAACUAUCUACCCAACAAUUUGAAAUCCAGCUGAGGCAAAGGCCAUGUCCCCUAGGUCCCCACAGCAGCCUCAACUAGUACCUGUCAAUUGAUUAGAGAUGGAGAAAACAUGUGAAUCAUGAAAACGUGCAAGAUGAUUUUAGUGUUUAACUGUAGAAGAAUAUCAAGUGAGGUGAGAAGAGCUUCGAUCUGUGUUCUAGAAAUACAUUUUUUUCUAUGUGAAUUUAAGGAUGAGAAGGAGCUAGAAUGAUGAAAUGCUGACCAUGUCAACUGAAAGAGAUCCAUUUCCCAGGGGCCGUAUUUAGGUUCUUGGAGAUGUUGGUCCAUGCCUCUGGGACCACUCUACUCUGUGGGAUUGUGCUGACCUGGAAAACAUGAAAAUGUUGGUCUUGUAAAAUCACUUUUGGCUCAAAUCAAUUCCAUAUGAGCAGAGCAGUACAAGCUCUCUUGCAGAAUUUACACCCUGAAAUGACAUAUCCCUAAUCUUUUAACAGAGAAUUGGGCAGAUGGAUCUGCUGAUGCAGUCACAAUUUUGAGUCAGGUUAUUUUAUUAAAUGGAUGAAGUAAAGUGUGCUUUCCUUUGUCUUAGGGGGAAAAAAUUCAUGUAUCGGUGCUUACUGUAUUUGCUUUAAGAGUAAUGUUGGCUUCAAUAUGAGUAACUAAGGUUAAAUUUAGAGAAAUGCUUCUAGAUGGCUUCUGACCUGAAGUAAAUUCUAUUUGAGGGCAUUUAAGUUCUCUCAAGUGGAAAUUAAAGAUGGUUGCCAGAGUAAAUGUGUAAUGUUUUAUUGGGUAUGCUAUUGGUAAAAGAUGACCAUCCCACUGUUCUUUGGUCUUCUCUCAUUUUUUAGUAUUUAAAAAAAUUUACCUCUGUAUACACAUAGAUUCAGAAAAAAAAGAGUAAUGUAAAUUAUCCAUCUUUUUCCUCAAGCAUCUUAAGCAUUUAAAAUUAUUGAGGAAAUUUUUGUUCCCACUGCCCUUUUGAGUAUUUCUCAGUAAAGUGGGAAAGCUAGAAUACUAAAAUAGAUCAUUAUUUAAAAGAUUUUAUUUAUUUAUUUAUUUAUUUAUUUAUUUAUUUAUUUAUUUAGAGAAAGAAUGUGGGAGCACAUGCAAGUGGGAGGAAGGGAAGAGGGAGAGAAUCUCAAGCGAAUUCUGCACUGAGCGCAGAGCCUGAGGUGGGGAUCAAUCUCACAAUCCUGAGAUCAUGACCUGAGCUGAAAUCAAGAGACUGAGGCUUGAUUGACCAAGCCACACAGGCACCCCUAAAAUACAUGAUUUUUUUAUUAGAGUUAGAAAAAUUAACAAGUAAUUUUCUUUGAAUUUUUACAAUGAUUUACAUUGACAAAGAGGAAAACAUGCAGGAAAGACCAUAGUCUAGAUUUCUCAAGUACUUACAGUACUUUGGUUUGACGUUUAGAGGUAAUAUGAAGUUGUGGAUUUACUUAAAGAUGUUACUCCAAAUACAAUUUACGAAACUUUUCUUGUCUCUGAUAAUAUAAUAUAAUAUUAUAUAUAUAAUAUAGUUGGUUGGAUUCUAUUUAUUUUUCACAAUGUUGUUCAGAAAUUAAGUUUAAUUUCUUGAAAGUCCCAUCACUCUAGUCUUGAAUUUUCAGGCUGUUGUCACUGUCUAUUGCCAGACACUCUCUGUGAGGGGUCCCGUGAGAGGAAUGUAAACUAGGGGUGAGCUCUAGGUCUCAUUUGCUUUUGCCUUGUUUUGAAGUUAGCAAUAGUGCUUAUUCUUUAGAUGCUUGUUGUGUACAGGGCAUGGCUCAUGUUGCAGGCUCUGAAAUAUUUUGGAAUGACGAAUUCACAGAAUUAUCAGAGGCGUCCCCAACCUUAAUUUUACAUGUCUUCAACUUUGUGUAACAGGGGAUUGGGAAAUGUUCUAUGUGUCAGUAGACACGGAAUGUUUCUUGAGGAGUCAUCCUAGUGGGAGACACACUCUCAAAAGAGGCCAUCAUUCAAAACUUUGCUCUUUUUAGAUCUUAGAGGGAAUCACCCUAGAGUCAGUUUGGGGGGACGAACUCACUGCUUCAUGUUUCACGUCAAAGUGGAAUUCUACAGCUUGAUUAUCCACUUUAUUCAUCUAACUUGGAGCCAAGUACCUUUACAUUGUUUUCAAAAGUCAUCCGAAGGGGGCAUCUGGGUGGAUCAGGGGUUGAGCAUCUGCCUUCAGCCCAGGGUGUGAUCCCGAGGUUCUGGGAUGGAAGUUCCGCAUCAGGCUUCCUGCAUGGAGCCUGCUUCUCCCUCUGCUCUGUCUCUGCCUCUCUCUGUGUCUCUCAUGAAUAAAUAAAUAAAAUCUUUAAAAAAAAAAGUCGUCCGAAAGACACAUUGAAUCACUAUCAUGGUAGUUAAAAGAACAAGCAAUGCCUCUAAAGGCGACUCAAAAAAGGUGGUUUCCAAAAAUACCUUGUGUAUAGCUGAGUGUCUGCGAUGAGGUGUCAUGUCCCACAGGACUUCUUUGGACGACCCCAUCCUACCUGGUAUGUUUGUUUUGAAGCCAGACACAUUAUUUUAUACUUGUACCUCACGUACUUAAUUUCCUAUCAUUUCUCAAUCCAGA
rnacentral:lncRNA from 1 species